GCGGCUCGACCUUGUUCGUGACCUCGCCACAUUCUCGAGCCAACACGAACACAUCGGGAGCUUGUCGCCGGGCCGUCCGUGGACUGUCCGGGAGGGCACCCACCUGCUGAGGCAGGUUCGAGAAUAGCGCGAGCACGGCAAGGUGGAGCUCUU
rnacentral:other from 1 species